rnacentral:rRNA from 1 species
UCGCUCAGCUGUGUAGACAAUCUAGGCACUUUCAGUGUUCGAGUUGUAAUUUGAAGAAGGUAUCUUUGGAGUUGGCCCCCGUCUAUGUUCCUUGGAACAGGACGUCACAGAGGGUGAGAAUCCCGUGCGAUGGGGAGACCAAUUCUAUGUAAAGUUCCUUCGAAGAGUCGAGUUGUUUGGGAAUGCAGCUCUAAGUGGGUGGUAAAUUCCAUCUAAAGCUAAAUAUUGGCGAGAGACCGAUAGCGAACAAGUACAGUGAUGGAAAGAUGAAAAGAACUUUGAAAAGAGAGUGAAAAAGUACGUGAAAUUGUUGAAAGGGAAGGGCUUUUGAUCAGACUUGGUGUUUAGUACUCUCUACUCCUUGUGGGUGGGGCUCUUGCUUUAUACUGGGCCAGCAUCGGUUUGGAUGGUAGGAUAAUAGCAUUGGAAUGUGGCUUCAUUCGUGAAGUGUUAUAGCCUUUGUUGAUACUACCUAUCUAGACCGAGGACUGCGUCUUUUGACUAGGAUGCUGGCGUAAUGAUUAAAAGCC